rnacentral:pre_miRNA from 2 species
CAGUAGCUAUUUAGUGUGAUAAUGGCGUUUGAUAGUUUAGACACAAACACCAUUGUCACACUCCACAGCUCUG